UGAAAGAGAGUUUAAUAUAUAUUAAUACAAAUGUAUAAUGUGUUUUGAAAUUUUAAAACAACACUAAAGAUCAUAGGUUUCAAUAUAUAUAGCAUUUAUCGAAAAAUUAAACAUUAACCCAUAGAUUUUGAGAAAAAUUCAGAAAAAUGAAAAUUCUAUUUUAAUGCAUAGUUUCAUCCUUCACUAAAAUAUGAUUAAUGUCAAAGACGUUUGGAACCUUUGUGGUCUCCGUUUUUCUUGAGAAUAACGAUUUUAUAUUUGUUAGUCAACCAAUUUAGGGAGUAUUAUGAAGUUUUACUAAAUUAAUUGGCAAAAAAUUUUAAUGAUACCCAUGUACCAUGAAAGAGAGUUUAAUAUACAUUAAUACAAAUAUAGAAUGCGUUUAGAAAUUUUAAAACAACACUAAUGAUCAUAGGUUUUAGUAUAUGGAGCAUUUACCGAAAAAUUCAAUAUUUGCGUAUGGGUUAACUAAUAGAUUUUGAGAAAAAAUAAAAAAAAUAAAAAUUCUAUUUUAAUGCAUUAUUGCAUCCUUCAAUAACAUAUGAUGAAGGCCAAAGAGGAUUAGAACCUUUGUUGUCUCCG
rnacentral:lncRNA from 1 species